AGACACCUCAGGGGGACCUGGUUGUGGCAUCUGCCACCUCACUGACAGCCUGAGUUGAUCGGGCUGACCUGGCUGGAGAGGUGGGUGUCCCCUUCCUCCCUGUGGCUCUGUGUGUGUCCCCUGAAGCCAUGUGUUCCAUCGAGGAGGAGGGCCACUCCCGACAGGAGAAGGCUGGGAUCCCGGUAAGA
rnacentral:snRNA from 1 species